rnacentral:misc_RNA from 1 species
CCGAGCGAGGGCCCCCGGCCCGACCUCCAACCCUUUGAAGUUACCGUCCAUGUUGCCUCGGGGGCGACCCGGCCUUUUCGGCCGGCGCCCCCGGUGGACCAGCCCACUCUGCGUUCAUGCGUCGGAGUUCGAGGGAGAAUGUUAAUCA